rnacentral:lncRNA from 10 species
GAAGUAGAGAAAAAAAACUUAUUCUACCUUUUGCUUGUCCGUGUUUCUGGAAUCUGUGGCUGGUCGUUAAUAUAUUUUGGGAAUCCUCAGUCAUUCUGUUUCCAAAACAUCAGGAGUUAUGGUCUAGGUCCUGCCGCUCACCACACAGGAAGCCAAUCACUGAGACAGUGCAUUCCCAAGAAAGAAGACUUGAGUUGGGUGCUGUAGGUGAGGCAAUGAGAGCUCAGUCCCAAAUCCAUCUCCCUGACUGAGUAAAACUAAGGGUUUAUGUAGCAGGGAAGAAAUGUAACAAUGUGUAAGAAAAGAAGAACUUGGUGGGGGUGUGGGAAGAAUACAUCUGAUGCUGUCAUCUGUUGAGUUUCAGUUCUUUGAUACUUUUAUUGACAGGCAUGAAGGUCCUUUCCUGAGGAAGGAACUCAGAUAAAACAAAUACAGCUUUUAACAGCAGAAGGGUAAGUUUCUAUUUUUAUCCAAAAGAACGUCUAUGAGACUAUUGGGCCAGUUCCAAUUAUCUUUUCAAACACAAUUUUUUACUACCUCGUUGUUUUCCAUUCAUCUUCUGGGUUAUAAUGACAUAUAUGUUAGAUUAUUUGAUAUUCAAAAAUGGUACUUUUUCAUGACAGAGCCUGGAAGUUUCUUGAUUCUCUUUGUUCAGAAUAUUAUAGAAAGGUUCCAUGAGUUCUGCCUCAAGAGUGAGGUUUUCCUAAUACUGCUGCUCCAACCUCUGUCUCUAUUCCAGGGCAGAAUCUAAGGUACAGGUAAAUUCCCUUCCGCUCCUCCUGUAGCAGUUGAACUCUGACAUGUGUCAAUGGGUGCUUGUGGCCAGCCAGUUUCUAGUCCAUUUUCCAGAGCCUGCAUACUUCAAUUUGAAUCAGUGCAAGAAUCUCAGCAUGAAAAGAUUGUCUGCUCAUAUCCUCCUACCAUAUGACAGAUGAAUUUUAGAUAUCAUCACAGAGCAUGAAGGAGUGACAGCUGACCUUUGCCUGGGAUUAGGUCAGGAACCGGGAUGUGGGUGGAUUUUUUUUCUUCCCUCCAAGUUGAUCUUCACUUCUCAGGAGAGCAGGCUCUGAUCUGGGGCAUGGGAAUGUUGUUUGCUUCUCCUCCUGCAUCCCAUGUAGUUUAAUUCUUCUUGAGAAGGGUCUGGGGCACCAGUUGGUUUUAUGCCAGUAUUUCAAUCAUGCAGAGCUCAGAAGACAUCUGGC